rnacentral:lncRNA from 1 species
AUACACCGGAUUACAAGUUAUGACCCGGUCAUCACUAUGUUUAUAUCGCUACUGUGUCAUGUUUACUUAACAAACAGAAAACAUGCUCCGUGUUUCUAUCACGUUACAGGAACACGAGGCGACGUUUGGGAGAGAAAUGCUGAGAAUGCUGUGGGAACACAAGCCCAUACGCGAGUAUUUACACAGUUUUUUCGAGUUCUCCUAAAUUUUUACUAGUGUUUCUAUAACUCGAUAGAAACAUGUAACAUACUUUCAAUUUCGUGAUGAAAAAUCACUGUUAUCGCUACCUUAUGUUGUGGGAUUGUGCGUACCUAGUGCGUACCUACAGAUAUCCGGGAGCUUCGUGACCGAGAGCAUGCCAACUCGGCGAGAGAGAGGGACGAACGUGGCGAGAUGGCGGAAAGAUUGAUUACCUUUGAACAUAUUUAAACAAGGAAGGAAAGUAUGCAAGCAAAGUUAAGGCGCUGUGGUCGAACUUUUGUGCUGCCAUGCUGCCAUGCUGCCAUGCUGCCAUGCUGCCAUGCUGCCAUGCUGCCAUGCUUACAAAACCAGCAAAACCCAGAAACAGAUUUAAGUUCAAACUGGUGAGCUUAGACGCUCAACUUCAAUGUUCUGCAUGAGUUAUCGUUUUUGGCGUUGUUAUGUUUCUGGCUGGUUCUAUUGUAGCAGCAUUCAAAUUGCUUUUCUUUUGUACGUGCUGUGUUUGAAGAGGACAACGGCGAGUGAAAACAGGAGUUAGACUAAUCCUAUCAGAUGCCAUACAGAUAUGAACAGCAAAAGAUCAUUUGAUUGACUAGGAAAGAUGGUCUGGACAGUCGGAAGAUCACUGUAAGGAUUGCCAAGCAUAGGUGAGAAAAGCUGGAAGUCAGUAAAAACUACCAGGGAAAGAAGGACAACUUCAGGAUGAUGUUUCAUUAUGAGAUCAGUUGAUGUGUGAAACACACUAAGCUAUAGAGCAAUACAAGCCAGUGUAGAUUGUGUGCAUUAUGUUGUCCACAGCAUUGCAAGAAUACUAGCAGUACUACUUGGUUCCAUUGUCCUCGGUGUUCAGUUUGUGCAUGAUGGGAUCCACAGCAUCAUAAGAAUACCAGCAGAAAUCUACCGUUACCUUUGCUUAUUGCUUCGAAAAAGUAUCAGAAAUCAGUUUGCGGUUAUCCUGACGUUUGGAGAUGCUAUGAAACACAAAUAACCUGCUACAACAACUUGACUUGAAGCACGUGCUUCAAACAAAGAUGUCACAGUGUAUUGUCAACUUAUGGAAUUUGAAUUCUCCUCAAGGAUUUUUGGCAUUACAAGCGAGACAGCGAAAGGAUAAGGACAGAGACGAGCACAGAGGUACUGAAGUUGGCGAGCGACGGCAAUAAAGACACUGGAGACAGACACUGGAGACAGACACUGGAGACAGACACUGGAGGAAACAAUAAGGACAAAACAUUGAAGAUAACACAACGCAAAGUAGGAUAGAUAGAUAAGAUCGCUAGUGUUUUCUUUUCUCGGAUAAGUAAGAACAAGAAGGCAGACUUCGAAACACAGGAGGACGUUCGUUUUAGUUUCAAACAAGUUUAUUUUCGCUCUGUUUUGCGGCUCGUAAAAUUUAUUUACUGAUUCCAAUUGUCUUGUUUGAUACACGAGCCCAAGUCUCCAAAGUGUAAUCUACCAAGUUCGUAAGGUUUUCGAGUAAUAAACGUUUUUCUCACAGGAAACUCGUACACUGUGUAACUGGAAUAAGUUUGUAACUAACAGUUUUCUUCGCUCUUUAACGCUUUUGUUUGAAAUUUGACGGAGAUUCAAGAUCCUCGAUUGUCUAAUUUUAUCAAGAAGAUUUCUUGCUUCAAAACCGCAACAAAACGUUUGAUUUUAAUUUUUAAUUCAGCUUCUUAACUUGCUUAUCACAGCCACACAGUGUUGGUUUCUCGGAGGCAACUUGUGAAGAUUUUGCUUCUUCGUUUGAUUUCGUAUCAAAACUGUUCAGAAAGUCGAGUUAGCUAUCCAAUUUGAAAUGUUUCCCUGUAAACUUUUUUUGACUAAGAGCUGGUGCAAGUUAGUGUUUCAUGAAAGCUUUCAAUAUCAUUGUAAUUUUUUUGAAGUAACUAUUACUCGUGAAGACCCAUGUCAAAAUUUUUAAUUUUCCCGCCGAAAAAAUACGGGGGCUUAAAAUACGCAUGCGCCAUUUUUUUUUUA